UACGAAGGGGGCUAGCGUUGUUCGGAAUCACUGGGCGUAAAGCGCGUGUAGGCGGAUUGUUAAGUCGGGGGUGAAAUCCUGAGGCUCAACCUCAGAACUGCCUUCGAUACUGGCGAUCUUGAGUCCGGGAGAGGUGAGUGGAACUCCUAGUGUAGAGGUGAAAUUCGUAGAUAUUAGGAAGAACACCAGUGGCGAAGGCGGCUCACUGGCCCGGUACUGACGCUGAAACGCGAAAGCGUGGGGAGCAAACAGG
rnacentral:rRNA from 1 species